rnacentral:rRNA from 1 species
UACGUAGGGGGCAAGCGUUGUCCGGAUUUAUUGGGCGUAAAGAGCGUGUAGGCGGCCAUGUAGGUCCGUUGUGAAAACUCGAGGCUCAACCUCGAGACGCCGAUGGAAACCAUGUGGCUAGAGUCCGGAAGAGGAGAGUGGAAUUCCCGGUGUAGCGGUGAAAUGCGCAGAUAUCGGGAGGAACACCAAUGGCGAAGGCAGCUCGCUGGGACGGUACUGACGCUGAGGCGCGAAAGCGUGGGGAGCAAACAGG